rnacentral:rRNA from 1 species
CCCUACGGGAGGCAGCAGUCGAGAAUCAUUCACAAUGGGGGAAACCCUGAUGGUGCGACUCCGCGUGGGGGAAUGAAGGUCUUCGGAUUGUAAACCCCUGUCAUGUGGGAGCAAAUUAAAAAGAUAGUACCACAAGAGGAAGAGACGGCUAACUCUGUGCCAGCAGCCGCGGUAAUACAGAGGUCUCAAGCGUUGUUCGGAAUCACUGGGCGUAAAGCGUGCGUAGGCUGUUUCGUAAGUCGUGUGUGAAAGCCGCGGGCUCAGCCCGCGGACGGCACAUGCUACUGCGAGACUAGAGGAAUGGG